GAUGAACGCUGGCGGCGUGCCUAAUACAUGCAAGUCGAGCGAACAGAUAAGGAGCUUGCCCCUUUGACGUUAGCGGCGGACGGAUGAGUAAAACGUGGAUAACCUACUUUUAAGACUGGGAUAAACUCGGGAAUCCGGAUCUAAUACCGGUUAACAUACUUUACCGCACGGUUCAAUAGCGAAAUGCGGCUUUGCUGUCACUUAUAGAUUGAUCUGAGCCGUAUUAUCUAGUUGGUAAGGUAACGGCUUAGCAAGGCAACGACACGUAGCCGACCUGAGAGGAUGAUCAGCCACACUGGAACGGGGGCACGGUCCCGACUCCGACGGGAGGCACCAGUCGGGCAUCUUCCGGAAUGAGCGAAAGCGUGACGGAGCAACGCCGCGUGAGUGAUGAAGAUCUUCGGAUCGUAAAACUCUGUUAUCAGGGAAGAACAAAUGUGUAAGUAACUGGGCAAAUCUUGACGGUACCUGAUCAGAAAGCCACGGCUAACUCCGUG
rnacentral:rRNA from 1 species